CACCCCUCAACCCCCCGAUGAACCUAGCCAAUCAGAAAUGUACACUUCAUACUUGCUAAAUGUCAACCAAUCAUGUAACUGCUAAGUGGAAAAUCACCAAACCUUGCUGUAACCACAAUAAAAACCCUGCUAAUUUGAAAUUCGGGGCUCUCAAUUCUGAUACGCUGCAUCGGUGAUGGUUGUGAGCCCCUGCUCGAGCUUGAAUAAACGACCCUCGUGUGCUUACAUCGGGACUGGCUUCCUGGUGGUCUUUGGGACUACGCCAUCUGGGCACAACAGUAUCACAUGGUAUUGAAGCUUUUGUGACUGUUUAUUUCACUUAACAUUGUAUUUUCCAGCUGUAUCUGUUUUCCUAUAAAUGUCUCAAACUUAUCCUUCUUUACUCCAUUAAAAACAGAUACCACAUAUUCUUUUUCCAUUUGUCAGUUGAUGAACAUACAGGCUGCUUCUGGGAUUUAGCUAUUAUGAUUUCUGCUGCUAUGAACACUAAUAUAUAUGUAUUGCUGUACUAUGAUGUCUUUAACUCUUUUGGAAAGAUACCCAAAAGGGGAAUAGCUGGGUCAAAUGUAAUUUCUAUUUUUAGUUCUCUGAGAAAUCGCCAUGCUGAUUUCCAUAAUGGUUGUAACAAGUUUAUAUUCCCACCAACAAUGUAAAGAGGUUCCUUUUUCCCUGCAGCCUCAUGACCAUUUGUUUUCACUUGAUGUCUCAAUGAUGGCCACUCUUUCUGCUUCAAGUUGUGUUAAUUCACAUUUCUCUCAUGGCUAGAGAUAGUGAACAUUUUUUCAUUUUACUGGCAAUUUGUACUUACUCUUUUGAAAACUGUCUAUUUAUUUCCCUUGUCCAUUUUUUGACCGGGUCUUUUAUUUUGAGGGGCUCUAAUUUUUUUGAGUUCUUUGUAUAGUCUAGAUAUUACUCUGAAGAAUAGCUGGCAAAAUUUUUUUACACUCUGUAGGUUGUCUCUUCACUCUAUUGAUCAUUUCUUUUGCUGUACAAAACCUUUUCAAACUGAUAUAAUCCUACUUGCUUAUUCUUGCUGUUAUUUCUUGUGAAAGUGGAGUUCUACUCACAAUGUCCUUAACCUCUGACUUCAAGAGUUUUUCCUACUUUGUCUUCCAGUAGGUUGAAUGUUUCUAUUUUAACAUUUAGAUCUCUGAUCCACUGUGCUUUUAGUUUAGAACACAAUAAGAGAUGCAGGUCCAGCUUCAAUCUUCUGCAUAUGGAUACCCAGUUUUCCCAGAGCCUUUUGCUAAAGAGGCUAUCUUUCUUCCAAUGUGUAUUUUUGGUCCUUUUGUCAAAGAUCAAAUAGCUGGAUGUGUUUGAGGUUGUACAUGUAUCCUCUAUUCUGUUCUACUGAUCUACAUGUCUGUUUUUGUGCCAAUACCAUGCUGUUUUAAUCACUUUAGCCUUGUAGUGUAACUACAAGGGUACUGUAAUACCACUUACUUUGCCUUUGUUGCCCAGGAUUGCUUUUGCUAUUCUGGCUCUCUUCUUGUUGCAUGUGAAUUUUAGGACUGUUUUCUUUAGAUGUGUGAGCAAUGCUAUUGGUAUUUUGAUUGGGAUUGUGUUGAAUUAAUAUAUCAGUUUGAGGAGUAUGGCCAUUUUAGCAAUAUUAGUUCUGCCUAUCCAGUAACAGGAGACAUGUUUCUAUUUUUCUGAUGUUCUCUUCAAUUUCCUUUUUCAAACAACUGUAGUUUUUGUUGUAGAAGUCUUUCAUUUCUUUGGUUAGAUUAAUUCCUAGGUAUUUAAUUUUUCUUGGUGUCAAUGUAAAUGACGUUUUCCUAAUUUCUUUCUCAGUGAGUUCUUUAUUGGUAUACACAAAUGUUAUUGAUUUUUAGGUGGUGAUUUUGUAUUCUGCUACAUUGCUGAAAUUGGUUACUAAUUAUAAGAGUUUUUGGUGGGAUUCUUUGGGUCUUCUAUGUAGAGGAUCAUGUCAUUUGUAAAUAAUAAUUUGACCUCUUUUUUCCUAUACAUAUCCCUUUUAGCUCCUUCUCCUGCCCGAUUGCUGUGAGUUCUAUGUUGAACAGAAGUGCUGAUAGUGGACAUCUUGUCUUGUUUCUGAUUUUAGAGGGAAAGUUUUCAGUUUUUCUCUAUUUAAUAUGAUGUUGGCAAUAAGCUGGUCAACAAUGGCUUUUAUCAGAUUCAGGAUAUCCAACAGAGUUCCCUAAAACCAGAUUACUGCUAUGGCCUGGGGUCCCUAAGAGUUCCCUCCAUGAACCACCAUGAGAAUAAAGGAAGAAGUGUUCAAGAUAUUUCCUGCUGGCACCCCCUGCCCAGGCUCCAGAGGCCUGUCUGCUUCACGGUCCCUUUCACCACUUCAAAGCCUCUCUCCUGCCUGUCUCUCCAGAAUAGGCCAAUUCGAACUAAUUAGUGACUAAUCCAUUCUUGACCUCACAGCUUCCCAGAGGGUGACAAUCUUCAAUAAGAACAGCCCUGUAUAAGGUACCUCUCUGGAGCACAGGAAAUCACCCAAGAAGAACACAACAGGAAUCGCCCUGGACUUCCCUGAAUCCAGAGUCCCUUCCCUCUCCUAGAUGCAUCCCAGUGCCAUCAGCAACUUUCCUGAGACAACAACCAACAGCAGAUGCCCACCUAAUGAUGUGGCAAAUGGAAGAUUCUAGAACCACGUGUGAGCUCUACCUUCUUGCCCCUCAUUCACUCCUCAGCCCACUGCAACUAGAGCAUGGGUCAUCUCUCCACACCCACUGUUCCAGCAAAGACCAAGGUGAACAAUGACCACACCACUGCCAAUCCAAACACCAUGCAAUGUUUCAGAUCGUGGUUGCUCUGUCCACUUGUGUCCUAAGAAUAACCCCUAAAUGACCAGCAAUGGAAGUUAAAAUGAACAUGAAAGGUGAAUGUUUUGAAUUGAAUCACGAUAUGAAGGCUGCUGGGACAGCACAACUAAAGACACUCCUGAGACUCCGUGAGAAAAGACUUCCAGAACUGCUUCAGAAAGUGCAAUUCAUUGUGUUACGAAAUUAUAAAGAAAGAAAAUUUUCCAGAGAAGAAAAUUCUCCCAGUGCAAGUGGUAUCUGCAAGGUGCUUGGCCUCCCA
ensembl:lncRNA